CACGUAGUUAGCCGGCGCUUCUUCUGCAGGUACCGUCACUUGCGCUUCUUCCCUGCUGAAAGAGGUUUUACAACCCGAAGGCCGUCAUCCCUCACGCGGCGUCGCUGCAUCAGGCUUGCGCCCAUUGUGCAAUAUUCCCCACUGCUGCCUCCCGUAGGAGUCUGGGCCGUGUCUCAGUCCCAGUGUGGCCGGUCGCCCUCUCAGGCCGGCUACCCGUCGUCGCCUUGGUGAGCCGUUACCUCACCAACAAGCUGAUAGGCCGCGGGCUCAUCCUGCACCGCCGGAGCUUUCCACACAGAGGAGAUGCCUCCCUGUGUCGUAUCCGGUAUUAGACCCCGUUUCCAGGGCUUGUCCCAGAGUGCAGGGCAGAUUGCCCACGUGUUACUCACCCGUUCGCCACUAAUCCACCCCCGAAGGGGCUUCAUCGUUCGACUUGCAUGUGUUAAGCACGCCGCCAGCGUGUCCUCGUGCACGAGUCAACUACU
rnacentral:rRNA from 1 species